AAGCUCGUCGUUGAAUUUCGGGAUCAAUACGUCGGUCGUGCCUUCGGUACGCACUGGGGUCGUUGAUUCCUCCCUUCUGAUGAACCAUGAUGUCAUUAAUUUGGUGUCGUGGGGAGUCAGGACUGUUACUUUGAAAAAAUUAGAGUGUUUAAAGCAGGCAAACGCUUGAAUACAUUAGCAUGGAAUAAUGAAAUAGGACGUUCGAUUCUAUUUUGUUUGUUUCUAGGAUCAACGUAAUGAUUAAUAGGGAUAGUUGGG
rnacentral:rRNA from 1 species